rnacentral:rRNA from 1 species
CCUACGGGUGGCAGCAGUGAGGAAUAUUGGUCAAUGGGCGCGAGCCUGAACCAGCCAAGUCGCGUGAAGGAUGAAUGCCCUACGGGUUGUAAACUUCUUUUACAGAGGAAUAAAGUGAGGCACGCGUGCCUUUUUGUCUGUACUUUAUGAAUAAGCAUCGGCUAACUCCGUGCCAGCAGCCGCGGUAAUACGGAGGAUUCGAGCGUUAUCCGGAUUUAUUGGGGUUAAAGGGAGCGUAGAUGGGUUGUUAAGUCAGUAGUGAAAGUUUGCGGCUCAACCCUAAAAUUGCAGUUGAGACUGGCAGUCUUGAGUACAGGUGAGGUAGGCGGAAUUCGUGGUGUAGCGGUGAAAUGCGUAGAUAUCACGAAGAACUCCGAUUGCGAAGGCAGCUUACUAAACUGCCACUGACAUUGAGGCUCGAAAGCGUGGGGAUCAAACAGGAUUAGAUACCCGAGUAGUC